rnacentral:rRNA from 1 species
AAUCAACGCUGGCGGCGUGCCUCAGACAUGCAAGUCGAACGAUUAAAGCUCUCUUCGGAGAGUGUAUAGAGUGGCGCACGGGUGAGUAACACGUAAGUAAUCUACCUUUGAGUGGGGAAUAACAGUCGGAAACGGCUGCUAAUACCGCAUAAUGCAGCGGCAUCGCAAGAUGACAGUUGUUAAAGGAGCAAUCCGCUUAAAGAGGAGCUUGCGGCAGAUUAGCUUGUUGGUAAGGUAACGGCUUACCAAGGCUACGAUCUGUAUCUGGUCUAAGAGGACGGUCGGACACACUGACACUGAAUAACGGGUCAGACUCCUACGGGAGGCAGCAGUCGGGAAUUUUGGGCAAUGGGCGAAAGCCUGACCCAGCAACGCCGCGUGAAGGAUGAAGUAUUUC